rnacentral:piRNA from 1 species
UAUGUCGCAUGAUGGACUUGA